rnacentral:rRNA from 1 species
UAUACUUAGUGGCGGACGGGUGAGUAACGCGUGGGCAACCUGCCCCGUGCCGGGGGAUACCGCCUGGAAACAGGCGCUAAUACCGCAUAAGCGCAUACAGCCGCAUGGCAGUAUGCGGAAAGCUCCGGCGGCACGGGAUGGGCCCGCGCCCGAUUGGCCAGUUGGCGGGGUAACGGCCCACCAAAGCGACGAUCGGUAGCCGGCCUGAGAGGGCGGACGGCCACAUUGGGACUGAGACACGGCCCAAACUCCUACGGAAGGCAGCAG